rnacentral:rRNA from 1 species
CAAUGGGGGAAACCCUGAUGCAGCAACGCCGCGCUGAAGGAUGACGGUUUUCGGAUUGUAAACUUCUUUUCUUAGUGACGAAGACAGUGACGGUAGCUAAGGAAUAAGCAUCGGCUAACUACGUGCCAGCAGCCGCGGUAAUACGUAUGGUGCAAGCGUUAUCCGGAUUUACUGGGUGUAAAGGGAGCGUAGACGGAGCGGCAAGUCUGAUGUGAAAACCCGGGGCUCAACCCCGGGACUGCAUUGGAAACUGUCAAUCUAGAGUACCGGAGAGGUAAGCGGAAUUCCUAGUGUAGCGGUGAAAUGCGUAGAUAUUAGGAGGAACACCAGUGGCGAAGGCGGCUUACUGGACGGUAACUGACGUUGAGGCUCGAAAGCGUGGGGAGCAAACAGGAUUAGAUACCCUGGUAGUCCAAGGGCGAAUUC